rnacentral:rRNA from 1 species
GAUCGGCCACACUGGGACUGAGACACGGCCCAGACUCCUACGGGAGGCAGCAGUAGGGAAUCUUCCGCAAUGGACGAAAGUCUGACGGAGCAACGCCGCGUGAGUGAUGAAGGUUUUCGGAUCGUAAAGCUCUGUUGUUAGGGAAGAACAAGUGCCGUUCGAAUAGGGCGGCACCUUGACGGUACCUAACCAGAAAGCCACGGCUAACUACGUGCCAGCAGCCGCGGUAAUACGUAGGUGGCAAGCGUUGUCCGGAAUUAUUGGGCGUAAAGCGCGCGCAGGUGGUUUCUUAAGUCUGAUGUGAAAGCCCACGGCUCAACCGUGGAGGGUCAUUGGAAACUGGGGAACUUGAGUGCAGAAGAGGAAAGUGGAAUUCCAAGUGUAGCGGUGAAAUGCGUAGAUAUUUGGAGGAACACCAGUGGCGAAGGCGACUUUCUGGUCUGUAACUGACACUGAGGCGCGAAAGCGUGGGGAGCAAAACAAGGAUUAGAUACCCUGGUAGUCCACGCCGUAAAACGAUGAGUUGCUAAGUGUUAGGGGGGUUUCCGCCC